CUACGGGCGGCUGCAGUGGGGAAUCUUGCACAAUGGAGGAAACUCUGAUGCAGCGAUGCCGCGUGAGUGAAGAAGGCCCUUGGGUUGUAAAGCUCUUUUGUCGGGAAAGAUAAUGACUGUACCCGAAGAAUAAGGUCCGGCUAACUUCGUGCCAGCAGCCGCGGUAAUACGAAGGGACCUAGCGUAAUUCGGAAUUACUGGGCGUAAAGCGCGCGUAGGCGGUUAAGUAAGUUAAUUGUGAAAGCCCAAAGCUCAACUUUGGAAUUGCAAUUAAAACUACUUAGCUAGAGUUUAUCAGAGGAAAGCGGAAUACAUAGUGUAGAGGUGAAAUUCGUAGAUAUUAUGUAGAACACCAGUUGCGAAGGCGGCUUUCUGGGAUAACACUGACGCUGAGGUGCGAAAGUAUGGGUAGCGAAGAGGAUUAGAUACCCCAGUAGUC
rnacentral:rRNA from 1 species